AUUGAACGCUGGCGGCAUGCUUUACACAUGCAAGUCGAACGGCAGCACGGGUGCUUGCACCUGGUGGCGAGUGGCGAACGGGUGAGUAAUACAUCGGAACGUACCUUAUCGUGGGGGAUAACGCAGCGAAAGCUGUGCUAAUACCGCAUACGCCCUGAGGGGGAAAGCGGGGGAUCGCAAGACCUCGCGCGAUUAGAGCGGCCGAUGCCUGAUUAGCUUGUUGGUGGGGUAAAAGCCCACCAAGGCGACGAUCAGUAGCUGGUCUGAGAGGACGAUCAGCCACACUGGGACUGAGACACGGCCCAGACUCCUACGGGAGGCAGCAGUGGGGAAUUUUGGACAAUGGGGGGAACCCUGAUCCCGCAAUGCCGCGUGGGUGAAGAAGGCGUUCGGGUUGUAAAGCUCUUUUGUCAGGGAAGAAACACCGGCUCUAACACAGUCCGGGAAUGACGGUACCUGAAGAAUAAGCACCGGCUAACUACGUGCCAGCAGCAGCCGCAG
rnacentral:rRNA from 1 species